rnacentral:rRNA from 1 species
GACGAACCGUGCGAACGUUAUUCGGAAUCACUGGGCUUAAAGCGCGUGUAGGCGGGUCGGUGCGUCGGCCGCUGAAAUCCCCCGGCUCAACCGGGGAAGGGGCGCCGAUACGACCGGCCUGGAGCGACGUAGGGGGGACUGGAACUUCCGGUGGAGCGGUGAAAUGCGUUGAGAUCGGAAGGAACGCCCGUGGCGAAAGCGAGUCCCUGGACGUCGGCUGACGCUGAGGUGCGAAAGCGUGGGGAGCAAACAGG